rnacentral:tRNA from 2 species
UGGGGGAUCGUCUAAUGGUAGGACAUGGGCCUUUGAAGCCCAGUAUCGGGGUUCGAAUCCCUGUCCCCCAGCCG